rnacentral:miRNA from 1 species
UCCUCCUCUACCUCAUCCCAGU